rnacentral:rRNA from 1 species
CCCUGCCUUUUGUACACACCGCCCGUCGCUCCUACCGAUUGAAUGAUGAGGUGAGGUUUUUGGACUGGCGCGAUUUCAGAGCCUUGUGUUUUGUUUCGUGCCGGAAAGAUACCCUAACCUUAUCAUUUAGAGGAAGGAGAAGUCGUAACA